AAUCCGGGGUACUCUAUGCUGAGAUCUGAUAGCAAGCUGUACUUGUACAGCGAAGUGGUUGAUGCCAUGCUUCCAGGAAAAGUCUCUAAGCUUCAGUUACACAGGAAUCGUACCCGAAACCGACACAGGUGGUCAGGUCGAGUAGACCAAGGCGCUUGAGAGAACUCUGCUGAAGGAACUAGGCAAAAUGGUACCGUAACUUCGGGAGAAGGUACGCUGUUGUUGGUGAUGGAACUCGCUUCCUGAGCUGACGACAGCCGCAGAAACCAGGCCGCUGCAACUGUUUAUUAAAAACAUAGCACUCUGCAAACACGAAAGUGGACGUAUAGGGUGUGAUGCCUGCCCGGUGCUGGAAGGUUAAUUGAUGGGGUUAGCGUAAGCGAAGCUCUUGAUCGAAGCCCCAGUAAACGGCGGCCGUAACUAUAACGGUCCUAAGGUAGCGAAAUUCCUUGUCGGGUAAGUUCCGACCUGCACGAAUGGCAUAAUGAUGGCGGCGCUGUCUCCAGCAGAGGCUCAGUGAAAUCGAAAUCGCUGUGAAGAUGCAGUGUACCCGCGGCUAGACGGAAAGACCCCGUGAACCUUUACUGCAGCUUGACACUGAACUUUGACCUUACUUGUGUAGGAUAGGUGGGAGGCUUUGAAGCUGGAACGCUAGUUCCAGUGGAGCCGUCCUUGAAAUACCACCCUGGUAAUGUUGAGGUUCUAACUCUGUCCCGUGAUCCGGGACGAGGACCGUGUCUGGUGGGUAGUUUGACUGGGGCGGUCUCCUCCUAAAGAGUAACGGAGGAGUACGAAGGUGCGCUCAGCGUGGUCGGAAAUCACGCGUAGAGUAUAAAGGCAAAAGCGCGCUUAACUGCGAGACCCACAAGUCGAGCAGGUACGAAAGUAGGUCUUAGUGAUCCGGUGGUUCUGUAUGGAAGGGCCAUCGCUCAACGGAUAAAAGGUACUCUGGGGAUAACAGGCUGAUACCGCCCAAGAGUUCAUAUCGACGGCGGUGUUUGGCACCUCGAUGUCGGCUCAUCUCAUCCUGGGGCUGAAGCAGGUCCCAAGGGUAUGGCUGUUCGCCAUUUAAAGAGGUACGCGAGCUGGGUUUAGAACGUCGUGAGACAGUUCGGUCCCUAUCUACCGUGGGCGCUGGAAAUUUGAGAGGAUCUGCUCCUAGUACGAGAGGACCAGAGUGGACGAACCUCUGGUGUACCGGUUGUGACGCCAGUCGCAUCGCCGGGUAGCUAUGUUCGGAAGGGAUAACCGCUGAAAGCAUCUAAGCGGGAAGCCUACCUCAAGAUAAGAUUUCCCUAGGACUUUAUGUCCUCUAAAGAGCCGUUCGAGACUAGGACGUUGAUAGGUUGGAUGUGGAAGCAUAGUGAUAUGUGAAGCUGACCAAUACUAAUUGCUCGUGAGGCUUGACUAU
rnacentral:rRNA from 1 species